CAGCAGCCGCGGUAAUACGAAGGGGGCUAGCGUUGCUCGGAAUUACUGGGCGUAAAGGGAGCGUAGGCGGACUGUUUAGUCAGAGGUGAAAGCCCAGGGCUCAACCUUGGAAUUGCCUUUGAUACUGGCAGUCUUGAGUACGGAAGAGGUAUGUGGAACUCCGAGUGUAGAGGUGAAAUACGUAGAUAUUCGGAAGAACACCAGUGGCGAAGGCGACAUACUGGUCCGUUACUGACGCUGAGGCUCGAAAGCGUGGGGAGCAAACAGGAUUAGAUACCCCUGUAGUCCCUGUCUCUUAACA
rnacentral:rRNA from 1 species